UUUGUUUGAAUGCUUUCAGUGUUCAUGUCUAUUUCUUGUACAAUAUCAAUGUUUAUGCUUUAGUUUGAGGAAAAUCAGUAACAUAUCCUUAAACAAAUCAAGGCUUAUGUGAAUAGUUCUGACCUAUCAAAAGUAAAUCUUUUAUGAAAUAACUACUAAUUUAGAGCAUGGAAUAAUUGUUUUGUUGCCCACACACAGAGAAAACAUCCUUCAAGCACUGAAAGCAGGAAACACAAAAUUACGAAAACAACAAUGACAUCAUUCACCAUUGCAGUUUCAUCAUGUGCAUUAUUCAGACAAGAGACAGGGGAUAAAGGAGGUGCUUUUCCACUUGUCAAGGCUCUUACAAUGGUGAAUCAACGUGUGACUGAUGGCAAAGCCACUGAAGAGCAGUUUAAAAUUGUGCUGAUACCUUCUGAUGGUCAGGACAUUGAUCACCUGAUCAAGAACAUUAAAAAACACGGGCUGAAAUGUGACCGAGUCCAUAUGAUUACUGGUGAAAAACCCCUCCUUGAUCUUCUUAAUGAGAUCAAGCCUUUUCUCUACCUGUCCACAAACCCACAGAAUGUGAAAAAGGCCAUGACUGCAGGAUAUGGAGCAGCCACCAUGUACCAGGGAGAGUACCAGGGAGAUUACCAGGAGCACAGUGAUGAAGUGUUACGUGUGGCCUUUGAUGGUGAUGGAGUCCUGUUUUCAGAUGAGUCAGAGAGAGUCUUCAAAGAGAAAAAGCUAGAAGGUUUUGAUGAUCAUGAACGUGAUAAGGAGGACGAACCUUUGAAAUGGGGCCCACUAAGUAAGUUUUUUCAAGCCUUGGUACAACUCCAGCAGAAAUUCGGUCUGCAAAAUUGUCCGAUUCGUACCUACUUGGUAACAUCACGUGGCACAUCAAGUCCUGGAUUAAGAGCUCUGAAGACACUUCAGAAGGAAAACCUGGAGAUAAAUGAGGCAUUCCUUCUGUGUGGUGCCCAUAAAGGGCCUGUGCUGAAAGCAAUCAAACCUCACAUUUUCUUUGACGACCAGACAUCACACAUUAAGGAUGCCCUUCAAAAUGGGGUUAUUGGUGCUCAUGUACCUUAUGGUGUGAGCAAUGAGUGAGAAUUAAACCUGAUUUGAUUUGUAAAGUUGUGACACACACUGCGCUGUAGGUGGUAUUGUUUCUUAAGGUUUAAAGUGUAAAAAAAAUUAAGGCACAUUUUAAGGUAUUAAUGGUGAAAUUAAUCAAUAAGCCAUUACCUAAAUGACUAUUUCUUUGUCUUGGGGCCAUAUGUAUAAAGCCGCUCAGAGCAAAUUCUAAGAAUGAUGUCAUUUUAGUCUUAUACCUAGUCCUAAGAAUAAGUGUGAUUAAUAAAGGUUCCUAUAUGUGUUAACCCUCUAGUGUUGUUCAGUCAUUUUAGACAGGAAAAAAAAAAAAAAAAUUAUUGAAUUUUUAAAAAUCACUACUUCAUCGGAAUGGUACAAAACUUUUGUGGCAGUCGAUAUGUGACCACGAAAAAAAAAAUGUAGACUUGAUUCGAAAAAUCUAAAUGGUCGUUAAAAAAAAAAAAAAAAAGUCAAACUUGUGUUGAUCAUGGUCAAACAUAUGUUGGUGUGACUAUAACAAGUUUUUGCAAAUGUGUGAAAUAAAACCAAUAAUUUAGCCACAAUGCAGUAAAAAAAAAAAAAAACAAGUUGUUACAGUCUGGUGUUAUAGAUUUGGCUAUUUCAGAUCAUUUUCUCAAUUAUGCAUUUUGGACAAUCUUAAAAUCCUCAAAAACUCAUGCUCCUCACUCUGUACCAAAAAUACCAACUUCAAAAUUACCGCAAUUUAAUGCGGAAUUUAGUGUUACUGAUUGGAGCGAUGAGAUGUCAAUGGAAAAUCCGGAUCAAAUUCUAACGCAAUUUCACACUAAACUUCAGAAAAUACAGAAUAAAUAUACCACUACCAGCAAGGUUCAACCUAGGCAGCGUAAACUACCAUGGAUAAAUUCUGACAUAUUGCAACUCCUUAAACAGAAGGCCUCUCUCCUUAAAAUAUACAGGUUAAGUCGAACACCGGAGAGUAAAAAUAAUUUCAUACAAAUUAGAAAUAAAUGUACAGCUGAACUGCGUAAGGCUAAGGAGGUCUAUUUCCAACAACAGAUUACUUUAUCCGUUACUAACCCAAAGACGUUAUGGCAGACCCUUAAAGUCAUCAGCGGCGAAAAUGAGAAGAAAAAGAAUGUCAAUAUUCAAAUUUCCCUACAGGGUACUCUUAUCUCAGAUUCAGAAAAGAUUGCAAGUGCUUUUAAUGAUUAUUUUGUAUCAUCUGUUAAAGAAUUGGCAACCAAUUUUACAACUUAUUUCUUCUCACCUGUUCUCUCUCUAACACCUGAUCAGUUCUCAUUUUCUGAGAUCUCGCAGAACGAGGUAAUAAGAAUAUUGCGCACAUUAAAAAAUUCUCAUGCCUGUGAUAUUUAUGGUUUAAAUACUUUAUUUUUGAAGACUCAUGCUGAUAGCCUUAUACCUCUUUUUCAGCAUUUAAUUAAUCUUUGCAUCAGGCUUUCGAUCUUUCCUACUGAUAGGAAAAGAGCACAAAUCAAUCCAAUUUAUAAAUCUGAUGAUCCUACUCUUGUUUCAAAUUAUAGACCUAUAUCAAUACUCUCAGCAAUGUCGAAGCUGCUUGAAAAAACCUUGCACCAGUUAAUUU